GACGAACGCUGGCGGCGUGCUUAACACAUGCAAGUCGAACGGAAAGGCCCUGCGCUUGUGGGGUGCUCGAGUGGCGAACGGGUGAGUAACACGUGAGUAAACUGCCCUUGACUUUGGGAUAACUUCACGAAACUGGGGCUCAUACCGGAUAGGAGCUCCUGCUGCACGGGGGUGGUUGGAAAGUUUCGGCGGUUGUGGCUGGACUCGCGGCUUACCAGCUUGUUGGUGGGGUAGUGGCGUCCCAAGGCUUUGAAGGGUAGCCGGCCUUGGAGGGUGACCGGCCUCCUUGGGCCUGCGGUACGGCCCAGUCUCCUACCGGCGGCAGUAGUGGGGAAUAUUGCGGAAUGGGCCGACGCCUGAUGCAGCGGCGCCCCGUGCGGGAUGCCGGCCUUCGGGUUGUGAACCGCUUUCUCCUGUGCCGAAGCCUGAGUGACGGUACUGGGUCAAGAAGCCCCGGCUAACUACGUG
rnacentral:rRNA from 1 species